rnacentral:rRNA from 1 species
CUACGGGAGGCAGCAGUGGGGAAUAUUGGACAAUGGGCGCAAGCCUGAUCCAGCAAUGCCGCGUGAGUGAAGAAGGUCUUCGGAUUGUAAAGCUCUUUUGGCGGGGACGAUGAUGACGGUACCCGCAGAAUAAGCCCCGGCUAACUUCGUGCCAGCAGCCGCGGUAAUACGAAGGGGGCUAGCGUUGCUCGGAAUGACUGGGCGUAAAGGGCGCGUAGGCGGAUUGUACAGUCAGACGUGAAAUUCCUGGGCUCAACCUGGGGGCUGCGUUUGAUACGUAUAGUCUUGAGUGAGGAAGAGGGUCGUGGAAUUCCCAGUGUAGAGGUGAAAUUCGUAGAUAUUGGGAAGAACACCGGUGGCGAAGGCGGCGACCUGGUCCUUUACUGACGCUGAGGCGCGAAAGCGUGGGGAGCAAACAGGAUUAGAAACCCUAGUAGUCC